AGUGGCAAAGUGAGGGAGGGAAGGGGUGACUAGUGACAGAGUGAGGGGAUGACUGGUGACAGAGUAAGGGGGGGUGACUGCCACUAGUCACCCCAUCCCUCUCUCUGUCACUAGUCACUCCCUCCCUAACUCUGUCACUGUGUCACCCGCUCUCUCACUCUGUCACUAGUCACCACCUUACUCUGUCACUGUGUCACCCCCUCACUCACUCUGUCACU